UAGGGUUUAAAACCCUAAUGCUGACUAAAGGAAAAAUUCAGUUUAGGUUUUAAAACCCUAAUGCUGAUUGCAUGGAAAAGCUCAGUUUAGGGUUUAAAACCCUAAUGCUGGCUGAAUGGAAAAAGAUCAGUUUAGGGUUUAAAACCCUAAUGCUGAUUGCACGGAAAAUCUCAGUUUAGGGUUUAAAACCCUAAUGCUGGCUGAAGGAAAAAUUCAGUUUAGGGUUUAAAACCCUAAUGCUGACUAAAGGAAAAAUUCAGUUUAGGGUUUAAAACCCUAAUGCUGACUAGCUGGGGACAAAAUUCGAGAACAAACAACUGACCUCUUUUUUUUGAAUUUUCUUGUUUUAGUAAAAAACAAAAGAGAGUUUCGCGGAAACUUACCUUUCGAGUGAGUUCCUUAUUGCCAAUAUAUUUCUUGUACGCAUGUACCUUCUCCUUUGGGCGACACCUGCUUCUUGCACGGUUGUCUUGGAUUAAAC
rnacentral:lncRNA from 1 species